rnacentral:rRNA from 1 species
GAUCAGUGGCUACGAGGACGAACGCUGGCGGCGCGCCUAACACAUGCAAGUCGAACGAGAGAUGAGGAGCUUGCUCUUCAGAUCGAGUGGCGGACGGGUGAGUAACGCGUGGGUAACCUGCCUUAUACAGGGGGAUAACAGUUAGAAAUGACUGCUAAUACCGCAUAAGCGCACAGGAUUGCAUGAUCUAGUGUGAAAAACUCUGGUGGUAUAAGAUGGACCCGCGUCUGAUUAGCUGGUUGGUGAGGUAACGGCCCACCAAGGCGACGAUCAGUAGCCGACCUGAGAGGGUGACCGGCCACAUUGGGACUGAGACACGGCCCAAACUCCUACGGGAGGCAGCAGUGGGGAAUAUUGCACAAUGGGGAAACCCUGAUGCAGCGACGCCGCGUGAGCGAAGAAGUAUUUCGGUAUGUAAAGCUCUAUCAGCAGGGAAGAAAAAAUGACGGUACCUGACUAAGAAGCCCCGGCUAACUACGUG